UUUUCCUCAACUUAUAAAGUGCAUAACUCCCUUAUUAUAAAUCCAAAUGAUGUCAAAUUUAUGACCAAAUUAAAGAGUAAUGAAAGGUAUACACUUUGGUGAAGAAACCAUUUUCAUUUGAAGCUCGUAGCAAACUUUAUUCAAGGUAAAAGAAGUGGUCAUUUGACUUUGUACUUAGAAAAUUUUCAACUAUGUUUGGUUUCUCCAACUUCCACCUCAAAAUUAAUCUUGAUCCAAGCUCCAAAUAGAAAAGUGUUAAACAUUAAAGUUG
rnacentral:lncRNA from 1 species